CAGGUGGCUUUGUGAUGGAAACAUCUGGACUCUCCAGGCUGAGAGAGUGUAAAAAUUGAAGCUGUUCCAGUGUCUUCAAGCUGUCCCACUGUCUUCCAGUAUCUGCACAGUUGCCUAUCGUCCCUUGCCGUCUCUGUUUCAUCGAAGCUGGUGAGUAUUGUGAUGUCACUCUGAACUC
rnacentral:lncRNA from 1 species